rnacentral:antisense_RNA from 1 species
CUUCAUGGCGCCGAUCAGCACGGGCCGGUCGGCGGGGCGCUGCUGACCAUACGUGGCCAGCAGCGCGUGCGCCUC